rfam:Canis lupus familiaris chromosome 11, whole genome shotgun sequence.
CUUCAGUAGCCAAAAAAUCAAGAGUUUAGAGUUAUUGGAGGAGAAAGUCUUACUAAAA